GAGCGGUAGAGAGAAGCUUGCUUCUCUUGAGAGCGGCGGACGGGUGAGUAAUGCCUAGGAAUCUGCCUGGUAGUGGGGGAUAACGUUCGGAAACGGACGCUAAUACCGCAUACGUCCUACGGGAGAAAGCAGGGGACCUUCGGGCCUUGCGCUAUCAGAUGAGCCUAGGUCGGAUUAGCUAGUUGGUGGGGUAAUGGCUCACCAAGGCGACGAUCCGUAACUGGUCUGAGAGGAUGAUCAGUCACACUGGAACUGAGACACGGUCCAGACUCCUACGGGAGGCAGCAGUGGGGAAUAUUGGACAAUGGGCGAAAGCCUGAUCCAGCCAUGCCGCGUGUGUGAAGAAGGUCUUCGGAUUGUAAAGCACUUUAAGUUGGGAGGAAGGGCAGUAAAUUAAUACUUUGCUGUUUUGACGUUACCGACAGAAUAGCAC
rnacentral:rRNA from 1 species